rnacentral:rRNA from 1 species
UAUCAGUAUCCUGAGUAGGGCGGGACACGUGAAAUCCCGUUUGAAUCCGCGAGGACCAUCUCGCAAGGCUAAAUACUAACCAGUGACCGAUAGUGAACCAGUACCGUGAGGGAAAGGUGAAAAGAACCCCGGGAGGGGAGUGAAAGAGAACCUGAAACCGUGUGCCUACAAGUAGUCAGAGCCCGUUAACGGGUAAUGGCGUGCCUUUUGUAGAAUGAA